AUUUGACUCAACGCGGGAAAUCUUACCGGGUCCGGACACACUGAGGAUUGACAGACAGUAUUCAUGCCGACUGAAUUUCGACAUAUUUCAAAUGUGCGAGUUCUUUCAUGAUUGUGUGAUAGGUGGUGCAUGGCCGUUCUUAGUUCGUGGAGUGAUCUGUCUGCUUAAUUGCGUUUCAUAUUUACGAAUGUCGCUUACGUGAUUGCUGCAGACCUCGUCUCUUUAUUGAGUGCGACGCGUCUCUUCAACUCACUCGCACAUUCUCUUGAACGCAACGAGCGUGACCGCAACCUCUUGUUGUGUAUACCAAGUGUGUCGUUGCUUGCAACUCACACUCCAAUGCACGUAUUUUGGUCACAUUGUCUCGGCCGUCGCGCGCAGCCUCGGCUGUGUCGGCGCCAGCAAUGUCCAAAUAAACUUGAGGGACCGCUGUAACAAUUCUUUUAAACCAGAGGAAGGUUGCGGCAAUAACAGG
rnacentral:rRNA from 1 species